rnacentral:piRNA from 1 species
UGCUGGUUAAAUGUUAGGACCCUGGCUGC